AUUGAACGCUGGCGGCAUGCUUUACACAUGCAAGUCGAACGGCAGCGCGGGGGCAACCCUGGCGGCGAGUGGCGAACGGGUGAGUAAUGCAUCGGAACGUAGCCUGUAAUGGGGGAUAACUAAUCGAAAGAUUAGCUAAUACCGCAUACGCUCGGGAGAGGAAAGUGGGGGAUCGCAAGACCUCACGUUAUAGGAGCGGCCGAUGUCUGAUUAGCUAGUUGGUGAGGUAAAGGCUCACCAAGGCGACGAUCAGUAGCUGGUCUUAGAGGAUGAUCAGCCACACUGGGACUGAGACACGGCCCAGACUCCUACGGGAGGCAGCAGUGGGGAAUUUUGGACAAUGGGGGCAACCCUGAUCCAGCCAUGCCGCGUGCGGGAAGAAGGCCUUCGGGUUGUAAACCGCUUUAGUCUAGGAAAAAGGAAUGCAGGAUUAAUACCCUUGUGCUUUGAUGGUACUGGAAGAAUAAGCACCGGCUAACUACGUGCCAGCAGCCGCCGUAA
rnacentral:rRNA from 1 species